AGCUACAGAUCUCCUAAACAUUAAAAGCACCAGAUCUCAUUUGAUCUUGGAAGCUAAUCAGGGUUAGUUCUGACUAGGACUUUGAUAAGAAACUUUCAAGGAAUACCAGCUGUUGUGGCCU
rnacentral:rRNA from 11 species